CCAGUCCUCGCACGCCUCGCACUCGCAUGCCUCAAUGAAAAAAGACCAGCGAAAAAAGACCUACGAAAGAAAAAACAACGACAAAAAAUCAGGCGACUCGCACGCACGAGCGAGGCCUAUCCCGUCGCCACCGCCCGACGCCGCCAGCCCCGUCCUCCUCCCUGGCUCCCGGCGCCGCCCGCCCCCCAUCUCCUCCUGCGAUCCUGGCGUCGCCCCGCCCCACCUUCUCCCUCACUUCCGGCGCUACCUAUCGAUCCCCUCGACGACACAGAGCCGCCGUCCUCUCGUGCGAUCUCGCAGCCGCAUCCGCCAACGCCGAUCCGGGCAGACGCGGCCGUCGUGGAUCACGAGGAUCCGGAUGAUGGGGGCGUGGAGAUGGCCAUGGAUCUGUUACGGCGACGACGGCGCCGGAUCCGCACCCGCAACAUCCGGAUGGAGGCCGGCGACGAACCCUAGCCUAGCCGUCAGCAUCGGGAUCCAACCCCUUCUCUCGGUGUUGGGGCAAGGCGUAUGGGGGUGCUUGUUGCGGCGGUGGACCUCGACCCGGCGACAUCUGCAGCAUCUCCCUCCCGUCGGGCUGUAGGACCUGUACGCCCAAGAGAUGUGAUGUAUGCACCUCAUGGUACACAUAGGGUUUUGAUUUGCUUUCCUUGACUGCAGAAGAUGUUAUUAUGAUGAGCCAGGUCAUGGUACACAGGCUAACUAAACAAGCUUCUGUUGUUUUAUUGUUGGUCGUUCCCGUCCACUGCUGCCAACAGUCAAUUUUCUGCAGGGUUUUUAUUUCUUUCUCUUCCAUCGAAAGCUCCUUUUUGCCACUGAUUAAUUAGUUGAUGCAUGUGAAGAUUUUCGAUACUAGGAGAACCAAGUUUAAACAUGUGCAAUUCCAUCUAUCUAGCAUCAAUGUCGGGUGAGGUUAGACUACAAGAAAGACUAGAUAUUAAGCUUGUUCAUUCUAUCUACACCUUUUGAAUCUGAAGUCACUACUGUUGUAAAUAAUGCUACUUGAGUACCUGGUUGAUUGGUUUUGUUUAUUGUGGCAUUGAGUAGCCUACUACAUUAGUGGUGUCAGCUAUAUUUUGUAAGUUUGUUAUCGAUUCAAUUUAGUUAUUUGUGUGUGUGAUUGAAAAAUAAUGGUUUACAUAUGAAUUGCUACAGUUUUAUAUAAUACUCUUUGAUCUGUGCUGCUAGGUCUGCUACUGCGUGCAUGACAACAUGAGGUGUCGCAAUCGGUGCGGUAUGCUGGUGAUAGAUGUUCUCGAUUGUGAUGCCCAAGCCUGUCUGCCGCAAUUGUGUGUUCGUUACUGCUGAGGUUAGAAAAAGCAUACAUCAAUUUUUCUCCUGCAAUUGUAUGGUCGUUUCUGCUUUAGUUUAGAAAAGCAUAAAACUGAGUUAUUUUUGCCUUUGGCAGACAGUCAUCCUACUUCGUAGUAAUCUUGUGCCUUUCGUAUUUGCAUACUAAUCACGAGCCUUUCCUUCAUAAUGCUAAAUUUUGAAUUGCUUUGGCUCUAUAAUUUGUUUGAACUGAUCAUUUAAGAAUUUCAGAUAAGCGCAUCCAGAUCUUUUGACCCUUCCACGAAAAGGUGUAACAUGGUAAAUUUGUCGCAACAAGCAGCAUGGCAUUCUUGAUAGCUUUUCUCCCUAUUAUGACUUGCAUCUUUCUACCCUGCCCCAAAUUAAAUUUGAUUGGGACUGUUUGAUUGAAUGUCAAAUAAAGAUCAACUUUAUCUCUGAUCGAUUCAUGGAAAUAGAAGCUGAAUAAUAUUCUGAUUAUUACUUGCAUGCUAUAUUCACUGUUCUUGGUUUAACAACUUGCAAGUGUUUCUUUUAAUCCGCAGAAAAAGGACUCACGGGUGGACAUCUGCUAUAAAUUACCUAGGCCUGGUCAUCUGCGUGAGUUGCAUCUGUCAUUUUUCUUCCAAGGUAGAACAUUAGUUUUAAUUAAACAAGUAGUGUUCUCCACAGUUUGAUGGGAACACUUUGACUUUCUGUAACCCCUAGAUUUGGUAUUUCCUGAUGAUUGCUUGCGGUUCUUCUUACUUUCUGGUAUAAAUAGAGAAAAAUGAGGAUAUUGUAAUUAUUUUAGAAUGUUCAAGAUUUAGGUGUCCAUACUGUGCUAACUAUGGUCUGAAUUGUUUUGGGGAAUCAUGAUGUCAUGUCGUGAUUACACAAUUCCAAGCUGUGGUUCAGAAGCACACUUCGCUAAAAUACAUGCAAUCGUUUUUUUGGGUUUUCUUCUCACAAUAUAUAUACGUAAAUCAUGUAAUUUGCAACCUUGGUAAGUGCACCUCGAGCUGGCUGAAACAUGCCUGUUCCAAUCAUGAACGGACAUGAAGGCAGCCGGUGGGAUUUACUAUUGCGUCUCGACCUACUCGGAGCAGGAGAGGCCAGGCUGUGGAAGGGGAGCCUUGGCGCAGUGGUAAAGCUGCUGCCUUGUGACCAUGAGGUCACGGGUUCAAGUCCUGGAAACAGCCUCUUGCAGAAAUGUAAGGAAAGGCUGCGUACAAUAGACCCAAAGUGGUCGGACCCUUCCCCAGACCCUGCGCAAGCGGGAGCUACAUGCACUGGGGCUGCCCUUUUUAGGAGAGGCCAGGCUGUGGCAGCCGCGGUCGUGGCGUCGUGCACGUGGCAUCGACGCAGGUGAGAAUACAUCUAUGGUAGUCUCGUGGGCCGAGCGUCAAGGUGAUGGUAGCCGACCCUCCACGCCCCCUCUAGGGAUGGGAAGUGGCGGGCAGAGUACCUCCCCCGCGCAUGUCAGGUUGCUGAUCCACCCCUAAUUCCAUUAUACACUGCUACAUCUUAUCUGUCAUCUACUCACAACAUUGCAAGAUGUGGCAUGUCCUAAGACGAUGAGAUUACAAAGAUUGAGGUGACAGAAUCUAGCUGUGUCAUGGGCAAGCCGGUUGGCACCAUUGUGACAUGACAUCAGUUGUGUGCGUUAAAAUCACGAACGACGGCGCUUGCUUUCAUAACCUAAUAUACUUCUCCCACAUGGAAAUUAUAUAAGUAUGGUUGUUUAUAACUGUAUGCACUGGACAUGUGUUCUCUCUCAGUAAUGUGCAUGUUUGCUCCAUUACUCAUUUACCCAUUCUGGUAAUUUUUUCUCUGAGUUUUUAGUCCACAAACCAAUGUUUAGUCUCUGGAAGAAAGUCAAGGUAUUAUGACGUGUGUGUGUGUCUAUAUAUAAACAAAGAGAUAUAUAUGUCUCAUAUCCUAUAGAUUUUGGUCUGCCUUUUUCUUUGCUUACGGAGAUGCACCUGAUUAGUUUGUUUCACCUGUUUGAUAAAUAGUAUUUUUCACAAUAUAAUUUUAUUUCACGGUGUCUACUCAACGAAUUGCUUGUGAGUGUGUGUUUUCACAAAUGGUGCAGAAUAAACUCCCAACUAAAUCGUUGGAUAUGUAUAUAAUUUGCAGAGUUGCAAACACUUUCAAUUUCAACUGUGUGGUGAUCAGGACAUUCUGUGUUGCUUGGACAACCGAGCUAAGACGGCGAUGCCACCACCUACUUGUAUCUGUACAGGACCUCCGGUGAUUAUUUCUAUGAGUUCCUAAAUAUAUAUCCUCUGCUCUUCAAAUGGUAGUGUUUGAGGUUUUCAUUUCUCCCCCUUCUAGUUCUGCUGAGCACCUUCAAUUCCCCUUUCCCCAGCUCGAAGGAAUUGGCGCCUCCGUUAGUGACCCCGAGUAGUGAUGCAAUGAUGUAUUGUUUGAUCUUCUCCAAAGAUUUUCAAAUAGUUAUACUUUGAUUCAGAGCUCGUUGUGUUUUACUGUAUAUGCAGUUUGUUCUUAUGAAUUUCUCCGAGUAGGUAGAUCCUUUAGGGUUACUAACUUACUGUGAACAAAUGUUUUGUCUUGUUCGUGUAGUUUCCAAAAAUGAAGAAGCUUGUCGUUCAACCGAUGACAAAACACCUAGAGUACGUGCAAAAAUUACUACUUCCUCAUUUACAGCAAACUCAUUGAUACGAUAAAGGCAAAAUUUUGGGUGGCAAGGUAUAUGAUUAGAUCAUGUGUAAUCUUCUAGAUGCAUUUUUCUAUUCUUCCAUUGUGUUCUUUAGACAUGCCUCUUUUUGUUAUUUUACAUCAGUUAACUGAAGUUCAUAUUAUUCCUUUAUCUGAUUGUAGCUUCAAAGUUUGAUUACAGCAGAGUCAUUGAUACAACAUACACAGUUUGUGAAUUUACCUACUACUACGAGUUACGUCAUAUAGCAAUGUUUUCUUGCCUAGAAAAAUAUUACAUGAAAGGCCUAAUGUCUUGUGAAUGUGUAUAGUAGCUACGAGUAGGUGGUCAAACUGUACACCUUUAAAGCAUGAAUAAGGUGCUAGCUUAUGUGCUGCAGUUGCUUUGCAUUGUUCAGAUGCAAUGUGUUUUCGCUCAGCGGGAGCACUUCUUCUGAUUAUUUAUAAUUUUUAGUUUGCUUCUUAUAAUUUUAAGACAAUUUUUGCGACUUGGAAUGUAUAGCAUCCCCCUUUUCUCACUGGAAAUGACAUGUAAGAACAAACCAGUUCCAGUUCUGGCAUAGUUCUGAUGGUUGAAGUGUAUGUCUAUAUGAUUUAGUAUAUGCAUGGGAGUACCCGCUAAACGAUGAAGCAUAUUGUGUCGUGUUAGCUCCAUCUAGCUUUAUUAUCUUGAAUUCUGUAUCUAGAUUUUGUAUGUUGUAUUCCCUUUCACCGCGUCUACAUACUUGAUGAAGAUUUUUUCUGAUUGCAAAGUAUGUGCAAGUCAGUAGUGAACACUCUAUAUCGUUGUUCCAGAAAAGCAAGAUUCAGCAAUUUCCGCAACAUUUCAUGUCCGUUCCAUGUAGUAGUUUUUGCGGAAUUAUAUUGAUGAUUUCCUUUUACCUUCAUAUUUGCUUAGUUUUCUUAGCAAACACAAAAAGCUUUGCGUCUUGAAGCAUUGAUAGAAGCGAACAUAAUUCAUGAUACAAGCCUAAUACUCUGAAAAUAUUUUUACGGUUCACUAUUCCUAUGAGGGGAGUGAGUGGAGACAGCCAUGAGUGGCUCAACAUGUCGUGCAGCGGCCGCCUAUGAGGGGAGUGAGUGGAGACGCGCAAAUAUGUGUGGUGGAGGGGCAACGGAAGCUUGAACGGAAGAUUCGUCGCCAACAUCGAAGAAAUCUAUGGCCUGAUCGACCCUAAAGCUCCUGCAUGGACAUGAAGGUGACCGGGGGCAGAUUGCCGACAUUUGCCACACUAUGGGCAAUCUAUGUGAUGAUCUGCUCUCCGCAAUCGAAGCCAGGAAUGAGCGGCAAGAUCUCUUCGGGAAUGGCUGAUGAGGAAGAAUUGACUGCGGGGGAAUGGUGGAUCUAGGUGGAGUUCACUUUAGCCAGUGAGGGACGAGCUUUAGUUGUGUAGGGGAAGGGAAGCCACAUGCAUGAGUCAGACAUAAUAAAUCGGCUCGAAAAUGACUCUGUUAGUCCAGAAUCUCGUCUUGGACGACCCAUAUGGUGCUCUGACAUUCGAUCCGGUGUGAAAGUGCCUCACAUAGUCAUGUUUCAUGGACUUCAGAUGUGGGCCAUAUUCACUGUUUAAAAGAAGCAUACAUAGAUUAUUAGUGGCCUAUGUGUGUUGGGCUGUAAAUCCCGGGGCAACUUGAUGGGAGGGAUAACGAGCACCCAUGUGCUCCAACAGAUAAUAGAGUGCAUAUAACAUGGCUUUCUCACGACUUUAUGCCACUAAUAAGAAGUCCUUUCAUUUUAGAUCA